GUGGCUCCGUGUGAAGAUUUUGAAUGGUGGAAACACACACAAGGCCCUUCCCCUGAACCUGUGGCAGUCACGUGACUAACGGUCACUUUGAAACCCUCAGGGGGAUGUCACUGCCAAGAGCCCCGAGUGAGGUCACCGUUCACGUUCACGUGCUGAGGAGCAUUUUUGCAUCGGCCCAGUCUGCGUCAGCAUCAACUUGUUUUUAGUUAAGCUGUAAAAGAGCAAUAAGACGUCAGAGACAACUCCCAGACAAUGCAUAUUCGCCUCAUCUUCAGUGGAGUCUCACUGGACUUUGGAGACAGGUUUCUCUGAAAAUUCCUGGCCGUGUGCUAAGACACCUUCUUGCACAGCAACAGCGUUCAGGAUGGUGUGCAAACCAUGCAACGGAUAAGGUUACUGCUUUCCCAGCAUUCCGUCUUGCUUAUUCCAACUAUGACAUAAUUUAAGUGGAAGGAAACGUUUUCUAUGGCAGCCGUUCACAGAAGUGUCAUAUGUAUGUGGCGUAGAACUGGUAACCACAUCCCAAAAUUAUAAACCAUUUGGUGCCAUCGUACAAGCUAACUCAAUGCUCUGCUCUAUAGGAGACUCACCGAAGUCAAUGGGAUAACGGUGCUUCUGCACAAUGGAGUCUUCCGCAGGUGAAAAAGGAAGAAAGAGGAUCUCUCUGUCCUCACAGAAAGUGUUCAGCAAGAUAGAUUUUAGUACUAAAAGAGAGACAGUGUUCCAGAGGGUGUAUUGUCUUGCCCCCUGGGUCCCAAAGGAAGUAAACUUGGAGCAAAUCCUCCAGCCAAGGCAGGAUGGAUGGGUAGUGAGGAACAGCUGCACGACUGUUCUGUUUCCAAAGAAGAUUUUUACAUAUCUUUUCACAAGAAUGGCUGCAGCCGCAGGAUGAGGCACUGCAGAAUUAGGAAGUGUCAACAAGAGGCCUUGGUAAGUGUUCAAAGAACACGAUUGAGGAAAGGAAAGGUUAGAAAAUCUGACUCAGUCCACGCCUGGAAAUUCUGAGAAGCGAGCGCGAUGGAAUAUUAGGGACUCCUUCCCCAUCUGGAGGCAGGAUCUGGAAUUUGUGACCUGCCCUGAUCGUGCUGACGUCACGCAGGCACUGCAGUGGUAACUUAGCAACUCUGCCAGCUCUCCCUCCGUGGAGCCCACUGUGCAGGAAUGUGAUUAAGUCGCCCGUGGCACCAAAUCCUAGCUAAUGCUUCAGAGGACCAGGCUUUGUCUUAGAAAUAUUUUCCAGUGGAUAGAAAAACAGCUCUUUCUGGCUCACUGCAGGGUCUGUCUCUGAGGGCGAAUGGAACUGCUGAGAUGGCAGUUUAUUCCAGUGAGGUAGCCUCAGCCAGCUGCUGGGAGGCUGAGCCCAUUUACCCUACGGGCAGGUUUGCCAAGGUAGCAGGGAUCCCUCAACAGCCUCAGCUGGGUUCAUCCAGGAUUCAGACUUGCUGCGGCAUGAUCUGGGAGGCUGGCAGGUGCCGGGGGCUGGGCUUUGGGCAUCAGGAGCCUCGUGGAAAAGAAAUUCACUGUUGGCUCAAAGACAGUGAGAGAGCAAGUGCUGGGGGCCAGGGGCUUUCUGAGGACAGCAUGGUGGGUGUCUGCCACUCAGAUUGUCCUCUGUGACUGCUCUCUGGGCUGCGCUCCUGAGUCCUGGGAGGAGGAGCUGCACUUAACAUCGAGUGGAAAUGGACAGAGCUGAUCCACUUGUAACCUCAGAUGUGCAAAGGGGCAGGAGAGAGUACUCCGAAGCCUCAUCUGAGCGCACCCUGCUCUUUUGAUGUCCCACAGGCUCUUCCCACGGUCACCUCUGAUCCUGCCCCCAUUGCACUCCCUACCCACCCUCCACUUUGGUGGCCAGUUACCAAGAGGGCCCUGGGUUCCACCUCAAGGGCCUAAAUACUUCAUUGCCUAAAAGGCUUUCUCAGGCCCAGGCCCAGGGGCUGAAUGCGUCGGUGCCAACCUCCAACUGAUGAGGGACAUAGACAGGUACAUAACACUCCCCCCACCCCAGCUUUCUAACCCUGCCUUGGGACAAUUCUGGGGCAGUUCCACACAGCUCCCCAGGGAUCCCAGCGGGACCCAGACAAACUUGCCCACACCGGUAAUCUGCUCAUUAGCAUAUCUUUCACUGGCUGCUCUCUCUGGCUCCGAGCUCUCUUCACUCCCGCCUUCUCUUCUGCUUCCUAGCAACCCCUCCCAAACAAACUGCCUGCACCUACGCCCCUCCUGGGGGGGCUGCUUUUCGGGAAAAUGUAAACCAAGACACCCACUCUAUUACCUGCCUCGCCACCAAUUUAAAUUCUCUAACCUCCCUUCAUUCUUCAGGCCUUUCUUCUUGUAGCUGAUGUCGAAUUCAUACCUCCACCAAAGCAAUGCACCACCUUCUUUGUAACAUGCCGCAUAGCGACCUAGAGAUGCUGUGUUUUUGAAAUUUCAGUCUUCCUUUCCGCUCUCCCCCACCGGCGUCUGCAUGUAGAAAGAGGCAGAGGAGACAAUUCUUUGUCUCUUGAUAUGAACUGUGCAUGGACACAGCCCCUUGAAAGGUAGAAGUCACUGCUGUGAGCUUGCUAUUCACUAUUUUUACUUCCACCCAGAAGGGUAUUUUCCUACUGGAUGCUGCUGGGGAAGGCAGUGGACGCAGUGACUCACGGGGUGAGAGCAGGAAGGACAUCACAUCUUGGCGACAUCGAGGUAGCUUCGGAGGCCCUGGUGCCCGAUGUAAAUGUGGAGUGAGGCAAAUGGAGGGUUGCCUCAAGAAUACAUUGAAGGCACCCACCAGAGAUGAGCAGCACCUUUGGGAGGAAUUUGAGGGAGGCCUGGAAUUCCCACAGCACGGGCGAGAAUGGAAUUGAAGCCCUCCUUUUAGACACUGUCUGUCUUGACUGGUGUGGCCCAGAAAAUUAUGCAUUAUGCUAAGACAGCUGUGAUUAUUCCCCAUGUACUCUAAAUUGCUUAAUUUGGCUGAGUGGAUACACACUAAUCCAUUCCCUGGUGAAGCAGACACAAAGGGAUAUUUCCCCAUAAAGCGAAGCAUGAUGGCAGAUAUGAUGGGAGACUGGGGGAGCCAUCAUGGUUGAACUUGGGUAGAAACUUACAGUAAAAAUGCCACAGAGGUGAGGGCUCCUUGGCAUCCUGAAGAAAGCCUAGCAUUGGAAAUGAUUUGAAAAGGUGAAUCUGCUAAGAAAAACUCAGCCAGGUGAUAGUGUAACUUAAUUCUUUAAAGGAAUCAAAUUCAGAGAGAGUAACUUUAAGACUAUGUAAGCUGUUAGAACCUUAGGACUCAGUGAAAACUCAAAGAAAUAGCAUUUAUUGAAUGUGUUCUUAACUUGGGGACAUAAAGUGCCUAAAACUGGAUGCCAACUGUUUCUCAAAAGAGCAUUUCUAGUUAUGGGUGCCUGGCUGGCUCGGCAGGUGGGGCAUGCGACUCUUGAUGUUGGGGUCCUGAGCUUGAGUCCCACGUGGGGCGUAGAGAUUACUUUCAAAAACUAAAUAAAACGAAAAAAAAAAGAGAAAGGAUUUGUAGUUUCAUCAGAUUCUUAUUGGGGAAUCUGACCCCCAAAAGAUCAAAAACUAUUGGUAUACUUUAAGAAUACAGAAACCAAGGCAUCAUAUAAAGCUACCUACAUGCAACCUCUGUCCUGUUUCUAAUCUCAUGUGGACUGUACUUAGAACAAUAAUGGUAACAGCAACAGGCGUCACCACCACCUUAAUGAGCCUGAGGAUCGUGACAGCCAAGCGGACUUAACGUGCUAUUGUAUAUAUGGAAAGCGUGGGUUUUGUACUCAAUGGUAAUGGACUCAAAUUCCUAUUUAUAUUGCUAUUUAAUAAUUAUAUGACCUUCACCUGGUAACUUCAUCCCUUUUUGCCUAUUUUCUCAUCUCUAAAAUGGAAAUCCUAUCUCAUAUGUUGCUAUGACGGUUAGUAUGGAUAUGUGUGGCCUCCCUGGAAUUCUUUCUUAGAAAAUUUUUUUUAAUGUUUAUUUAUUUUGAGAGAGAGAGAGAGAGAGAGCAGGGGAGGGGCAGAGAGAGAGAGAGGGAGACAGAGAAUCCCAAGCAGGCUCUGCACCCUCAGCACAGAGCCCGACCUCACAAACCGAGAGAGCAUGACCUGAGCCCAAAUCAAGAGUCAGACACUUAACCGCUUAACCGACCGAGCCACGCAGGCGCCCCUGGGAUUACUGCUUUUACUGUCAGAGCCCUCUGUCACAGGAUGUAGAUGGGUUGCUAUAAAGGUUGGGGUUCGUCAGAGAGAUCAGAAUCUACUCAAGCUGGUUUCGGUAGAAGAGUCAUCACAAUUUGGAGGGCUGAAGAAACAGAUUGCAUACUGAGCGUCUAGAAAGGAGUCUCAAAGCCAAACCGCAGAACUAGGACACCCCGGAAGCUGCUGCAUAUCCUGUGGGCAGGAGGCCAUCUACUCAAUCAGGAAGCUGCACGAGGACUGCUGGCCGGGAGGUCAUGCCAUCGUUAUUUCCAUCAUGAAGGCGUCGCGAAUUGGAGGUCGGCCUCCACAGCUACCGGAGCUUCAGAACCACAGCACACCUGUGACAGUAGACUCUGCCAUCUGACGGCAGUGCCCGGAGAGAAACCACAUACCUUUGCAGAUAAACCACAUACCUCUGCGACCAUUUAUGAAACAGGAGCAUAGAAACAACAAAAGCAGGGCUCUUACCUCAUAAUCUGAUUUGAGGAGCCUAAAUCAUAGCCAGGGCUUAGCUCAAGGGGGUUUGGAAAAUGUAGGAUUUUUUUUUUCUUUAAUCUUUUCAUCAUCUCGUAUGGGGGGGGGGCACACUAGAGAGAGAUUAGAAUGCGUGCUUAGCGCUAAUCAGCCACAUGCACUCCGGAAUGUUUGGUCAAGGUAUUUUUAUGUUUAUUUUUUAAAAGUUUCUAAUGUUUGUUAUGGAGAGACAGAGCAUGAGCCAUCAGCACAGAGCCCGAUGCACGGCUGGAACGCAAAGACCGCGAGAUCGUGACCUGAGCCGAAGUCGGCCUUUAACCCGACAGCCACCCAGGCGCUCCCAGGGCAUUUUUAUUGUUAUAUUUUUAUUAUUUUAAAUUAUAAAAAUAAUACACAUGAAUA